AGGGGGGGGCUUUUACACAUUGCAAGUCGAACGGAAAGGCCCUGCUUUUGUGGGGUGCUCGAGUGGCGAACGGGUGAGUAACACGUGAGUAACCUGCCCUUGACUUUGGGAUAACUUCAGGAAACUGGGGCUAAUACCGGAUAGGAGCUCCUGCUGCAUGGUGGGGGUUGGAAAGUUUCGGCGGUUGGGGAUGGACUCGCGGCUUAUCAGCUUGUUGGUGGGGUAGUGGCUUACCAAGGCUUUGACGGGUAGCCGGCCUGAGAGGGUGACCGGCCACAUUGGGACUGAGAUACGGCCCAGACUCCUACGGGAGGCAGCAGUGGGGAAUAUUGCACAAUGGGCGGAAGCCUGAUGCAGCAACGCCGCGUGCGGGAUGACGGCCUUCGGGUUGUAAACCGCUUUCGCCUGUGACGAAGCGUGAGUGACGGUAAUGGGUAAAGAAGCACCGGCUAACUACGUGCCAGCAGCCGCGGUGAUACGUAGGGUGCGAGCGUUGUCCGGAUUUAUUGGGCGUAAAGGGCUCGUAGGUGGUUGAUCGCGUCGGAAGUGUAAUCUUGGGGCUUAACCCUGAGCGUGCUUUCGAUACGGGUUGACUUGAGGAAGGUAGGGGAGAAUGGAAUUCCUGGUGGAGCGGUGGAAUGCGCAGAUAUCAGGAGGAACACCAGUGGCGAAGGCGGUUCUCUGGGCCUUUCCUGACGCUGAGGAGCGAAAGCGUGGGGAGCGAACAGGCUUAGAUACCCUGGUAGUCCACGCUGUAAACGGUGGGUACUAGGUGUGGGGUCCAUUCCACGGGUUCCGUGCCGUAGCUAACGCUUUAAGUACCCCGCCUGGGGAGUACGGCCGCAAGGCUAAAACUCAAAGGAAUUGACGGGGCCCCGCACAAGCGGCGGAGCAUGCGGAUUAAUUCGAUGCAACGCGUAGAACCUUACCUGGGUUUGACAUGGAUCGGGAGCGCUCAGAGAUGGGUGUGCCUCUUUUGGGGUCGGUUCACAGGUGGUGCAUGGCUGUCGUCAGCUCGUGUCGUGAGAUGUUGGGUUAAGUCCCGCAACGAGCGCAACCCUUGUUCACUGUUGCCAGCACGUUAUGGUGGGGACUCAGUGGAGACCGCCGGGGUCAACUCGGAGGAAGGUGGGGAUGACGUCAAGUCAUCAUGCCCCUUAUGUCCAGGGCUUCACGCAUGCUACAAUGGCUGGUACAGAGAGUGGCGAGCCUGUGAGGGUGAGCGAAUCUCGGAAAGCCGGUCUCAGUUCGGAUUGGGGUCUGCAACUCGACCUCAUGAAGUCGGAGUCGCUAGUAAUCGCAGAUCAGCAACGCUGCGGUGAAUACGUUCCCGGGGCUUGUACACACCGCCCGUCAAGUCAUGAAAGUUGGUAACACCCGAAGCCGGUGGCCUAACCGUUGUGGGGGAGCCGUCGAAAGGGGGGGACCGGGU
rnacentral:rRNA from 1 species